rnacentral:lncRNA from 1 species
UUAGGCUCCGCCCACCCGCUUCCGGAACUGGCCUAUAAAAGGGGGUCCAGCGGCGCGGGCCGCUCUUUCUUGGCUGUUGUCGCCGCCAUUUUGUGUUAGGCCGGAGGCUGCUGCCGCCAUCCGCCGCCAUCCGCGGGCGCUGAGCCCGGGCCGCCAUGAGAGCGAAGUGGCGAAAGAAGCGUAUGCGCAGGUACGUGAGCCUCUGUUCUGUCCGGCUGGGGCUGGGGGCUUGCCCAGCGGGCGCCUAUGCUAAUGAUGUAAAUGGUUUGUAUAAAUCUACGUCUUGUGUGCUGGGCCCUGCAGGAGUGUAGUAAUGGGCCUGGCGGAGAUGGUUGAUCAGACUUGGGGAGUGGGGAAAAACUUGAGUUGGGUGUAGUAAUGUUAGCACUGCAUCCCACAUCCCUCAGGCUAACUGAGGAUAGUUAGAAUACCUUUAUUUGUCAUGUCUAGAGGCCUCAGCUGAAAUUGGGAGCCCAUUAUGCUAGACCCUCUGAAAACUCAGACACUGGCCUUGCCCAAAGAGUUUGCAGGCUAAACUGACAAGACAAGCAGGAGGGUGUAGGGGGUAAAGUUCUGUUGUAGGAUAUGGGUUAAAUUCCUGUUUCUACUGCACAUGUGUUUGUAUGACCUUGAGUAAGUGUUUUGUGCCUCCAUUUCUCAUCUGUAAAAUGGUGAUAAGUCUGCUGCAGGGCGGGGAGUAAAGAGAGAGGAACAUGGAUGCAUGUGAAGUGCUUUCUGGUGUAUGCUGUUCUAAACCUCUAACAGACUGCAUCAUUGUAAACACUGCUUUUCAUAGAUUCAUAGACUCUAGGACUGGAAGGNAGUCCCCUGCCCUCAUGACAGGACCAAAUACUGUCUAGACCAUCCCUAAUAGACAUUUAUCUAACCUACUCUUAAAUAUCUCCAGAGAUGGAGAUUCCACAACCUCCCUAGGCAAUUUAUUCCAGCGUUUAACUACCCUACAGGAACUUUUUCCUAAUGUUCAACCUAAAUCUCCCUUUCUGCAGUUUAAGCCCAUUGCUUCUUGCUCUAUCCUUAGAGGCUAAGGUGAACAAGUUUUCGCCCUCCUCCUGAUGACAUCCUUUUAGAUACCUGAAAACUGCUAUCAUGUCCCCUCUCAGUCUUCUCUUUUCCAAACUAAACAAACCCAAUUCUUUCAGCCUUCCUUCAUAGGUCAUGUUCUCAAGACCUUUAAUCAUUCUUGAUGCUCUUCUCUGGACCCUCUCCAAUUUCCUUGUGGGGGGGUGUAGAACUAAACCUAUUUCACUUCCAAUGGAUAUUUCUUAGCUCGUCUGGCAGUGCUGUAAGUAUAAGAGCAGCCAGGCCAGCUCAGAGCUAAAACUGCCGGUCUGCUCUGGCUUUGGUGUAACAAGCUGUUGUGUUAGGUAUGGCAGGUAAGGAUGAUGGGCCAAAUUUAUUGCAGGAGUUAGUACAUCGGGUUUACACAAGUCUUAUUGUAUGUCUUUAAAAGAAGCCAUUAAAACACUGUAGCAAAGAUGCAAAGUUCCUUUUCCAAAGCAAGUAAAGAUGCAUUUGUUACUGUAUUUAGCAGCUUAGUUUUCUGCUCUACUUUUAAAUAAGGUCUGAAACUUGAGUUAAAACUCUGAAAAGGCAGGCAGGAAUUGGCUUAAGUUUAGCCUCUCUACUGAAGUGCUGUCCUUGUUGGUCUUCUGUUUCAUUGUCCACAGAAAUGUGGACAGGUUACUCAGUUUCUGGUAACUUCACUGUGCGGUUCUUUGCACUAGGACAAGGCAGCAGUUAGAUGUUGGACAUUGUGUUGUCAUUCUCUUUAAAAACUGCAUGUUGCAUCUUUUUUCCAAAACUAUUGACAUGCUUGUUCUGACACAAAAGGGGUUUGGCCUGAUAAUGACUCAUUCAAAGUCCUUUUAACCAGGUUGGCUGCCUGCUGUGGAAUGUCUGAUAGAAUAUCAGCAUGGUAACAAAGCUUUAUCUGAUGGGGUAACAUUGUCUUUCUCAGGCUGAAGCGCAAAAGGAGAAAGAUGAGGCAGAGGUCUAAGUAGAUGACUUCUCUGCUGCUACUGAGGCUGCAAAGCAGAGCAAAGAAACGUUGGAGCUUGGGAUGCAGCCCUCCAGACACAACUACUUCCUGGUGUUGCAGGAGUGCUUUCCUACCAGUCUUCAAGAGUUUUCCAUCUUAAGAAUGAAGGUCUCAUCCAUAUGGGUGGUAGCCCUGAGCUUUCACGUUCUGGACUGGUUCUGGUCUUUGUAGUUGAAUGUAGCAGGUAUACAAUAAAUAAAACCUGGUUUGGUUGGGAAUUCA